rnacentral:rRNA from 1 species
UUUGAUCCUGGCUCAGGACGAACGCUGGCGGCGUGGAUUAGGCAUGCAAGUCGGACGGUAGGGCUUUAUCGUAAGAUAGAGUUUGAGAGUGGCGAACGGGUGAGUAACACGUAGGAAUCUACCCUUAAGACGGGGACAACCCAGGGAAACUUGGGCUAAUACCGGAUGAGAGUGCGAGAGAUUGCAUUUAAAAGGAUGGCGAAAGUUGUCGCUUAGGGAUGAGCCUGCGGUCUAUUAGUUAGUUGGUGAGGUAAGAGCUCACCAAGGCGAUGAUAGAUAGGCGGCCUUAACGGGUGGUCGCCCACACUGGGAUUGAGAUACGGCCCAGACUCCUACGGGAGGCAGCAGUCGAGAAUAGUCUACAAUGGACGGAAGUCUGAUAGUGCGACGCCGCGUGAACGAAGAAUCCCUUCGGGGUGUAAAGUUCUUUUAUACGUGAGCAGUGCCCUUUAUAUGAAUAGUAUAGAGGGAGGGAUUUAAGCGUAUGAAUAAGCAACGGCUAAACUCCGUGCC